GGUCUGUCGCGGUGCCUGAAGCUGUCCCCGAGCCACGCUUCCUGCUUUCCCGGGCUUGCUGCUUGCGUGUGCUUGCUGUGGGCAGCUU
rnacentral:pre_miRNA from 1 species